GGCUGCGUGCCCAAGUGGACUAAGGGGGUGGAUUGCAAAUCCAUUAUUCGUCGGUUCGAAUCCGACCGCAGCCU
rnacentral:tRNA from 1 species